rnacentral:sRNA from 1 species
GCCAGCUGUGGUGGUGCACACCUAUAAUCCAGAGACCCAGGAGGCUGAGGCAGGAGGAUCACAAGUUCGAGGCCAGCCUAGUUAACCAUGUGAGACACUGUCUCAA